UACCUGAAGUAAGCAGGACCACCCGCUAAACUUAAGCAUAUCACUCAGCGGAGGAAAAGAAACUAACAAAGAUUGCCUUAGUAACAGCGAGUGAAGAGGCAAGAGCUCAAAGUUAAAAUCGCUUAGCUAUGCUGAGCGAAUUGUAACCUCAAGGGGGGGAUAUAGGCAAGUUCGACGCAAAA
rnacentral:rRNA from 1 species